UAGUCUAACCGCAAGGAGGACGGUUACCACGGUGAGAUUCGUGACUGGGUGUA
rnacentral:rRNA from 1 species